AUUGAACGCUGGCGGCAGGCCUAACACAUGCAAGUCGAGCGGAGCGGCGGACGGGGGAGUAAGGCCUAUGAAUCUGCCUGGUAGUGGGGGAUAACGUCAGGAACCGGGCGCUGAUACCGCAUCCUAUCAGAUGAGCCUAGGUCGGAUUAGCUAGUUGGUGGGGUAAAGGCACACCAAGGCGACGAUCCCUAACUGGUCUGAGAGGAUGAUCAGCCACACUGGAACUGAGACACGGUCCAGACUCCUACGGGAGGCAGCAGUGGGGAAUAUUGCACAAUGGGCGCAAGCCUGAUGCAGCCAUGCCGCGUGUAUGAAGAAGGCCUUCGGGUUGUAAAGUACUUUCAGCGGGGAGGCGUUACCCGCAGAAGAAGCACCGGCUAACUCCGUGCCAGCAGCCGCGGUAAUAC
rnacentral:rRNA from 1 species